UUACUUGUAAGGGGGCAUCUUACAGGCAAGAGGAGUUAGGUGAAUGUGAAGAGGAAGGAACUACUCUGGGCAGGGGGCUGGGGGACGCUUCGUAGAGGAGGGGGUGUUUGAGCUGGGCCUUGAAGGUCAAAAGGGUUUUGUUAGGUGGGAAAUGGGGGAAGGACAGUCUGAAAGGGUUAGGUACAUUCAAGGAGCCCAGAGAAGGUUCGUGGCUGGAGCAGACGCAUUCGUAGAGUGAAGUCAUGGGAGAGAAGAGGCUGGGAAACUAGAUUGGUUCCAACUCCUAAAGGACCACUGAAGGAGUGUGGGCUGCACGCUGGGUGCAGCAGGUGAGUUUCCUCACUUGGGUUUCACUGUCAGCAUUUUAAAAAGGCAAACUGGUUUUCUUCCUGAGAAGAAUUCAUUGAUUCACUUGUGGCCAGUAAGUCAUCUGGGCCAGAGGUUGGUGGGGAGAUGAUAGGGGUGCAAGUGUCAUCUUCAAUCACAGCAUAACUGCCCUUGCUUUCUUACCUCUCGUUUAGAUAUUUCAAUGCUUGCUCAGGUCCCCUGCGCCCUCCUUCCUUCUCCCUUCCCAGCCAUACUACUUAUGGGAUGACUUUCUCUUUGUAAAAUGACCGUUAGUCUUAUCAAAUUAAUCCCAAAGUAAUACCAUCAAUUUCCCCCUAAAAUACCAACAAGACCCCUGCUUGAAACUGCUUGUACAUUAGAGACAGAGAAGAGUCCAUGAGAAUCAACAUUUUCUGAGGACUCCAACUGUGUGCCAAGAGAGUUCCCCUGCUGGUGCCUCCUCUGUAGUAAAGGAAAGGCUCCUGGGACCACAUUAUCAUUCUCUUCACUCGAGAGAUGAGGACACUGAAAUUCAGAGAGGGGAAGUGAUUUGCCUCAGCUUGUACUAAAGAAACAUUUCAACAGAGAACCCAGUGGAAAUUAUGACAUGUUAUCUUCUCAGAGUCCUGAACUCCCAUCCCUACCUCAGAAGAGACUCCUCUGUUCACAGAAGCUAAAGGCAGUUCCUUCCCAAUGGCAACUAUGUUUGGAUGUUGGAUCUACACUUUCUCAAGCACUGUGAUCUUCAAAUCAAAGGAGAUUUCUCCCAUUAUAUACUUCUUAUGAUCAACAAAUUCCAUCAUCUCCCCACUAAGAGAAAGUACUCCAAGAUGAUAGAAUGAUUUUAAAGUUAUGGGACUACAACAGCAGCCACAGGAACCUUGAACUGCCAUCCAGGGCCAUGCAGCAAACAAGCAACAGGGAAAUAUCCCACUAUGCAAUCCUAUUUUGAGAUGAUAUUUAGGAUGAGAGAACAUGCAUUAGUUACCUACCAGCUUGACAGGAAUGGAUUUCCAAAUCUGACACACCAUAGCCUGAAUUCUCACCAGUUUGCUCCUGGAAAGGCCCGCUCAUGCAUGAGCCCCUGCCACUCUUCUAAAUAAGCUUCCAGGCAUUACCUGCAUGCUGUGUUCCUGUGGUGGGAUGGCAGUAAUCUCUGCUAAGAUAAACGGGAGCUUCUGUGGAUAAAGCAUAAACGCAGUGAAGUGUGUGUGGCUGGAAGAUUUAAUGCCUCUACAGUGCUUAGAUACAAGUUGAGCUUGGAAUUCCAGAGGUAGAGCACUGCUGAUUGGAGACAUAUUAAGUAAAAUGUACUGUGGAAAUGAGAUAAAACCUUUAUUCUUGCUAAUGAUUGUCAUUGUAUGUAUUCAGGUGUCCAACAAAGGAUUUUAGAAUAAAGUGUGCCUUUAAAGUUUCCCACCUUCUUAAAGCUCCCAAUGAAUUGCAAAGGGCCUGUUUGGAAUGGACUGUAUUAAAUCUACUUCAAAUGAAAACCUUUACACUGAGUGAAAUAUGGUUCAACAAUUCUUAACACAAGGCCUUUACACUUGUGUAGCCCAUUUUGGUUUGGCCUAUCUUGUCACUAGAAUGCUGUCUGAGCUUGGAUUAUUUAUGCCCUAAGAUUUACUUAAAAUUGAAGGGAGUAUUUCCAUUCAUCAACACUAGUUUUGAUAGAUGCUUAAAAGGUGCAGUGAGGUUGAUGAUCCUGAAUACACAAAUUAUUGAUCACCACAUCAAGUUGGAUUUCCCUAAAGAUGUAUGGCUUUCUGACCUUGUGAUUUAC
rnacentral:lncRNA from 1 species